GACCCGAUGGCGGACGGCCGCAUCUGCCAUUCGUUGAUGUUCCGCUAUGUACCAAUAACGCAGAAGACCCUCGUUCGACUCGAGGUCGGGUCA